GGAUACUAUUUUGGAAAAGUGUACAAUAUAUAUAAUAUUUAAUUAAAUUAUGGGGCAUAGACCUUAUUAGUAGGUUAUAUAGAAUUAUUAGAUCUAUAUAAUUAUAUAAUAGGAUAUUAUAACAUCAGAUACCCACAUAUAAAGGGUUUUUCAAUAAGAGCGGGUCGAUGUUGAAAUGAAAUAAAACAAGCUAUGUGUGAGGUAUUAGUGAAAUUUUUUUUUUAUUUUAAAGUUCUAAGUAUGCCAAUUAUGUUUUGAAUAUAAUAUCGUUUAAAUGUCCGCCACGGCUUCUCACAGUGGCACGAAUCCGAGUGGUCCAAUUUUCAAUAACUCUGCCGCAUAGAUCCGGUUGAAUUUGAGCGAUGACCUGGGUUAUGUUCACUUUAAGGUCAUCUGUCGAUUUCGGCUUAUUGGCAUAGACCUGCGACUUCAGGAAACCCCACAAGAANUCUUAUACGAGUGUAAGCCCAAGUCCCGGCGCAAAAUUCGCCAAGUUGAAGACUGUGAAAGACCGACUUCUUGUGCACGGCGAGGAAUUGACUGCCUCGGGUUCUCCUGCACACUUUCACGUACCGCGGCGAUAUUCUGGACCGAUCUGGCGUUUCUUUGACGUACGGGUGUUAACUGAUCGUUUACCGAACCAGUUGUCUCAAAUUUCGAUACCAAACGUUAGAUAGUCGACUUUGAAGGACCACUACGUCGGCCAAAAAAUGUCAACAAAACGAUAAGGCUAUACAGCGCAGAUAAGAUCGGCCCGCUCUAAUUGGAAAACCC